UCCUACGGGAGGCAGCAGUAGGGAAUCUUCCGCAAUGGACGAAAGUCUGACGGAGCAACGCCGCGUGAGUGAUGAAGGCUUUCGGGUCGUAAAACUCUGUUGUUAGGGAAGAACAAGUGCUAGUUGAAUAAGCUGGCACCUUGACGGUACCUAACCAGAAAGCCACGGCUAACUACGUGCCAGCAGCCGCGGUAAUACGUAGGUGGCAAGCGUUAUCCGGAAUUAUUGGGCGUAAAGCGCGCGCAGGUGGUUUCUUAAGUCUGAUGUGAAAGCCCACGGCUCAACCGUGGAGGGUCAUUGGAAACUGGGAGACUUGAGUGCAGAAGAGGAAAGUGGAAUUCCAUGUAUAGCGGUGAAAUGCGUAGAGAUAUGGAGGAACACCAGUGGCGAAGGCGACUUUCUGGUCUGUAACUGACACUGAGGCGCGAAAGCGUGGGGAGCAAACAGGAUUAGAUACCCUGGUAGUCCACGCCGUAAACGAUGAGUGCUAAGUGUUAGAGGGUUUCCGCCCUUUAGUGCUGAAGUUAACGCAUUAAGCACUCCGCCUGGGGAGUACGGCCGCAAGGCUGAAACUCAAAUGAA
rnacentral:rRNA from 1 species